rnacentral:rRNA from 1 species
CAGCGCCGCGGUAAUACAGAGGGUGCGAGCGUUAAUCGGAUUUACUGGGCGUAAAGCGUGCGUAGGCGGCUUUUUAAGUCGGAUGUGAAAUCCCUGAGCUUAACUUAGGAAUUGCAUUCGAUACUGGGAAGCUAGAGUAUGGGAGAGGAUGGUAGAAUUCCAGGUGUACCGGUGAAAUGCGUAGAGAUCUGGAGGAAUACCGAUGGCGAAGGCAGCCAUCUGGCCUAAUACUGACGCUGAGGUACGAAAGCAUGGGGAGCAAACAGGAUUAGAGACCCCAGUAGUCCCUGUCUCUUAUACA